AAAUUUGAAAAAAUAGGCAGGACAGGAAUUUUGAGUAAAAAAAAAAGGCAGGAUGAGACACUUGCAAAAAAAAAAGCUAGGAUGACAAUUUAGGUAAAAAAAAAGUCAGGAUAAACUUUAAAAAAAAAAGGCAGGACCGAAUAGAGUGAAAAAUAAAAAGGCAGGACAGAGAUUUCAACUUAAAAAAAAUGCAGGACAAAAUUUUUCAUCCUAGCCCCCCCCC
rnacentral:lncRNA from 1 species